rnacentral:lncRNA from 1 species
CGAAGCUCGAGAGAAGCAAAACUCGACUUGUCGCAUGCAUGCAUGCAAUCAGAAGCCCCUACCCAGGAAUGCCGCCUCUGGCGCUGGCGCCGGCGCCGGCGUGCAGCGCUGCUCGCAGAAGUUUGUGAGAACAUCAUCGCAGCGGUAGGUGACGACGGGGCCAGAGCCGACCAUGACGCAGUUCUUGCACUCCGGGUGGCACCCGUCCACCGAGACGUCAUCGCACUGGCAGUCCGGCGGCAGCUGCCUGUCACAAAAACCGCAGUUGUCGCAGCACGGCCACGACGAGCCUGGUUUCCACCCGGUGUGGCCGUACAUGUUUAGUAAAAAAUGUCAAGUGUGCAUGCAUACAUCCUUUAACAAGUGAUAUAUAUAUAUAAAAGAAACUAAACGGUGCAUGAAAGGAUUCUGGGUACCUUUGCCGAGCGGCAGAGCAGCGAGGACGCCGAGAAGAGCCAGAGUGACGACGAGUAUCAGCUGAGGCCUCAUCUUUGUUACUGUGUCCCGGCAAGAACAGGCCUGAAUUUAUGCCAAGUUUUUUGCUUGGAUUUCUUUGCUACGUGUAUGUAUAUUCUCGCGGCUAUAUGAUGUGUAUGGUCGAGGCUGGAGGUCUUGUUAUAUAUAGCAUAGCAGGGGAUGGAGGUCCAGCGUGCCUAGAGAUGUCAAUCCCCACACGAUCGAAUAUAUAAAAUUCCACUACUAGCUAGGCGGCGGCAAGUGCCACAACUUUGCACUCCCAUGCGAUGCGACACGGUCUGGAUGAGUUUCCAAGCGCGCGCACGUUCCAUUCGUAUUUUUCUCAUUCCAUCAUGCAAUGCACAUGCCACCUGCGAGGGCGAUGGACGCCACCCGUCGACCUUUCCAAAAUAUUUUGUAAAAUUUUUCAAAUUUCUUGUCACAUCGAAUCUUACGACACAUGUACAAAGCAUUAAAUAUAGAUAAAAUAAUAACUAAUUACAUAGUUUGUCUGUAAUUUGCGAGACGACGAAUCUUUUGAGCCUAGUGAGUCAAUAAUUAGAUAAUAUUUAUUAAAUAUAAACGAAAAUGCUACAAUAACAAUUUUGGCAAAAAUUUUGAGAGUUAACAAGGCCCUGCUUGGUUGACCGAGUGCAGGGAUGACGCAGUGUACAUGUGUCUGGGAUCCUUUCAUAUACAUAUAUAGAGCAUUAAUUAUAGAUAAAAAAUAACUAAAUAUAUAUUUUGUUUAUAAUUUAGGAGACGAAUCUUUUGAGUCUAGGUAGUCAAUGAUUAGAUAAGUGUUUAUUUUGUUAAAAAAUUUGGAAUUAAACAAGGCGCUGGUUGGUUGAUCGAGUGCAUCAGUGCACAUGUGUCUGGAGAUACUUCCUGGAUGUCCUCUCUAUUUGCCUAUUUGCCUAGUCAUUUCAGGUGGGAACGGGAGCCCAGCACGGUCAGCAUGCAUGUGCUCAGUCCUCGCCUUGCCACCUGGAACGAAGGCCUUGUUUAGUUUUCUCCAAAACUCAAAAACUUUUCAAGUUUUCGUGUUAUAUUGAAUUUUACGGCUGCAUUAAAUAUUAACGAAAACAAAAACUAGUUAUACAAUUUAUCUAUAAAUUACGAAACGAAUCUUUUAAGCCUAUUUAGUCUAUGAUUAGACAAUAAUUACCAAAUACAAACAAAAAUGUUACAAUAUUUUAAAUUUUUCCCCCACUCAACUGAACAAGGCCGAGCUGAUUGUUGACCGUGGAGCCAUGGAGCUGGCGUCUCAACAGUACUGUACGAAAUUAGCAGCUAUAUUUUUUUAAGAUAAAGGAUAGAAACUAUCCGGCUUCAUCUACCCAUAGGUAGAAUCAGGCCAAAUUAAUACAACGGGAGAAAAAAAGAAGAUAAAUAACGGAAAAAUUACAUCCCCAACAAGGGCUCAAGUAGUCCUAGGCAACAAACCGUCUUGAUCCAAGAUGUCAACUCCUAUGGAAUACGAUCGCCAGCGUCAAGACAAAGUCGUCGAAACACGUUUGUCACACCUUAAAAAAGAUAGUGAAAACGUUGGACACCGACCACCAUUGACGAUUGGAUGCUUCUUCCAAGGCAACAGCGCAAAGAACUUGGAACAGAGACGGACCUGCCAUCCAAACUCCAAGCAGUUAUACCAAUGAACACCUCCUCCGACAAGAACAGCACGACGGAGAGACGUGGUUCCCGGCCAUGACGAACAACCACUUCGACGACGAGCCAACACGUCGCCGCCGGCCUGGAGAAACCAGGCUAGGUUUUCACCAAGUUGUUGGACGACCACAACCGCUACAGCUCCAGCGACACCUUCAACAAGGUGAGUAGCACCGUCAGUACCACCGUCGCCGGCCCGGCGUAAUGCCAGGUAGGGUUUUCACCCAAACUGCAGCCAGACGAAGAUCGCUGCGUGCCUGGGACUGGCACCCGCCGGAUCUGGGACGCCCAUCGGAUCCCAGUGGACUCAGGGCCCCGAAUCUAGGAGGUGCACCGCCGACUUCCAGGCAGCGCCGCGCAGACGCCCACCCCGGCGCUAGCAGUAGGACCCCACUCGGAGAGAGCGGAUCCAUGUCUCCUAGCACUGGAUCUCGCCAGGCACGGGGACGUCAUCUCUCCACCUCAGGUGCCAUGGAGGCAGAUGGACAGAAAACGAAAAAGACGACGCACGAAACUGCACUACCGCCAGGAUCGACGAGAUCCAUCCCGCACGGAGGAGCUUGCAGAAUUCCUGGAGAACACCUCGCCGCCGCCAUCACAGAGGGUCGCGCGGGCCUCCCGGCGUUCCUCUCCGGCAGCAGCGAGGGGAGGGAAGACGGGGUGGGAGGGUGUGGCGGCUGCUAGGGUUUGGGAAGACGGGGUGGAAGACGAGGAAUAUAACUCUUAUAAAGCAAAACUCUAAUAUCUAUUUCUCUUGACAUCCAAUGCAUCCACCUCAGCAGUUCACUAUUAACUCCACUAUCUAUUUUUCUUAAAAUGCAAAGCGUCCACCUCAGCAGUCUACUAUCAUUCGCUACUAUAAAUUUCUCUUGACAUGCAAAAUGUCCACCACAACAAUCUACUAUCAUUUGCAUUAAAUUUUACUAGCACAAAAAUUAUGACAUCCACAUUAGUGAAACACAUCAUCCACUAUGAAUAUAAUUUCUAUGAUUAUGCUAAUAAAGGAGUUAUAUAUUUAUAUUCCUCCUUCAUGCCCGCGGCAACGCGCGGAGAAUCCUCCUAGUUUUAUAUAUAACCAUGUCAUUGUCACUUCAUUACAGAGUCUCACAUGUAAAUGAUUUUUAUUCUUUUUCUCUCGUUCUUUAUGAGCAGGCCACAAACUAUCUCGUUUUUCAGAGCGAGAUAGGUGUAGAAAUAAGAGAUAGUCUCUUCACUUUUCCAUCUUCUUUCUUUUUCACAUCAGACGAGAUAGGUAUAGAGAUAAGAGAUAGGCUCUUCUCUUUUUCAUCUUCUCGCUUUUUCACAUCAGAAAAGUGCUCACAUGAAUUGUUAUGAGCCAGUUAAUGUGGCACUGUUGGUACACCUGGAGCAGCACCAAUGGAGAGGGCAGCAAAGUGUAGCCUUUAGCUCACAUAGGAGAGCAGAGCUGGUUGGGCGAUUGGUAGCUGUGGGGUUAACUUGAGCUUCAACUUGGUGCAUGGAGAUCUCACAAAUUUUUGUCAUCCAAGGGACAUGGAUAUCAAAAAGGAUUUGCUGAUUGUUCCUAUUUUUCGAAGCAGAUAAAAUUCUACUUUCAUGAAUCUGACAGUCGAGAGUAUUGUGAGAAAAACUUGCACAGUAAGUGUAAAUCUUGCAGAUUUCCAUAUAAUGGACAACUUUACUAGUACUCUUUAACAAACGAGCAGUGUUUUCAGCUCAUAUUAAAUCAGCAUAAGAAUGAACAUAAGCUAAUUUUUUUAUGAAAUAAGCAUAAACAUAAAUCAAAUUUCAGUGAAACGAGCAGCAAGUUGUGGCAAUACAAGUACAACAAAGGUAACCAAGAUAUUGUCAUGACUCGACACGAUACCAGUGCUUUGAGCAUAUAGCAGCUUCAUCACGAAUGGCUCUUUAUUCCAGAAACAGUACUAAUAAUACACUGACGGACGACGUACAAUAGCAAGCAUCGAGCUGAGCGGCGACAUUUAUUCUAUUUCUUCUCUCAGACAAAGCUCGAGAGAAGCAAACUUGACUUGCCAUAUGGAUGCUUGUAGCAGAUUUGCAUCAGAAGCCACCACCCAGGAACGCCGCCUCCGGCGGCGGCGCCGCGUGCAGCGUUCUUGCAGAAGUUUGUGAGGAUGUCAUCGCAGCGGUAGGUAACGACGGGGCCGUGGCCGCUGCCGGGAGGAAUCCCUGCACCAACCUUGACGCAUAUCUUGCACUCCGGGUGGCACCCCUGCACCGAGACAUCCUUGCACUUGCAAUCCCGCGGGAGCCACUAGUACAGAGACAGACUAUACAGGCGGUUGGUAACCUAUUUCUACUGGCGUUUUUCAGCACCGCCUGUGCUAGAGGCCAGUAGAAAUGGGCCAAUUUCAUGGCGGUUCCUUAUGAGCCGCUUGUAGAAAACAUUUCCACAGGCGGCUCUCUUUGGUAACCGUCUGUGGAAUUUUUUUUAUAGAAAAUAUGAAAUCGCGUUUUUAAAAACAGGGAAAAAAGAUUUAAUUUUAGGGAAGGCCUACUGGCUAGUCGACCGCUUCGCAGCCCCCAAGUCGCGCAUUUUUUCACGUAAAAUCGCAUGCUACGCGGCCGCUAGUGGGAUUCGAACCUAACACCUCGCCCUCGCGCGUAACGUCCUCUACCACUCCACAUAUCACUCAGAUGUGUCUAUAUUAGAGUUUUGUUCACCAUAUAUUAUCCUAAACUCAGCAUACAUUGAUUAUUUGAGGCCUUAAACAUAUUCAAAUAGAAAAGUUGUCAACUACAAACUUUGAUAACUUUUCAAGAUCUACAACUUUUAUAUUGGUAGUUUCUCCAUCCGAUGUCAUUUAUAAAAUUUGAAUUUCAAAUUUGAGAAAUUCAAACGUUGUUUUCGACGACAAGAUGAUCUCAAAUGAAAAAAAUUAUCAACUAUAAAAUUUCAUAACUUUUUGAGAUCUACAACUUUCAUUUUGACAGUUUUUUCAAACGAGGUCAUUUAAAAAGCUCAAAAAAUUCAAUUUCAAAUUAUUUUUAUAGGCGAUUUUCUUAAGCAACCGUCUGUAGAAAUAUGAUUUUUAGUGGCGGUUCCUUAGGACAACCGCAUGUAGAAAUACAUGAUUUCUACAUGUGGUUUUCUUAAGCAACUGCCUGUAGAAAUAUAAUUUUUAGUGGCGGUUCCUUAGGAAAACCGCAUGUACAAAUGCAUGAUUUCUACAGGCGGUUUUGUUAGAAAAACCGCAUGUAAAAAUACAUCUUCACAUACGGUUGGUAGUUCUGACACCGCCCUUUUUAUACCACAGGCGCGUGAUAACUAAAACCGCCUGUGAUAUAAAAAGGGGCGUCAGCGUUGUACUAUUUUCUACUAGUGAGCUUCCUGUCACAAACACCACAUAUGUCGCAGCAUGACCACAACGACCCUUGUGUGCCACUACUACGGAACGCUCUAUCACUAUCGGUGACAUCACAGUUAGAAAUGACAGAAUCGACAGUGAUGAGUCUUCACUGUCGGUUCAAAGCUUUGAGAGGCUUCGAAUGAUUGAAAAGGGGAAGAGCCGACAGUGAUGGACAACAUCACUGCCGGUUUGUUACUAGGACCUACAGUGUUGCCUUCUUCAUCUUUCACUGUCGGUCCGACACCUGAGCUAGCAAUGAUAUUGGGAUAUCACUGACGGCUCGUGUCGCCAACUGCCAGUGAUAUCCCCUGACAGCACAAAAAGCCUGCAGGCUUCCUCUGCUUCCGCCUCACUCCCAUCACGAGAACAUAGGAGCUUGCACGUGCCAUUCCCUCCAUUGUUACGGCUGCUCUUCCCCAUGACUCUCUCUUUUGGAUUUUGAAGAAUGGCUUGAUCUUUUUACUUUAAGGUUAGUAAGGGCAUCCACUUCAUCGAUUUUGGUGCUUAAUUAUCUUAGUUUGAAGGCUACAUUGCUUGAUUCUCAUUCUAGUUCUUCCUCCAUCCGAGAGAGCAAGCCAUUGGAUUUUGUGCAAAGCUCCCAAGCAAUUUGUGAGGAAUAUAUACAUCAUCUCCAUCAUCCAUAAAAGCUACAUGUUUUUGUCUAUAUAUCAUGACCUCAUUUGAAAUCUUUGGAAAUUUCAUGGUUUGAUCAAGAUGCAUGAUUGUUAGUAUGUGAUGCUCGAAUUAGUUCAUAUUAUUUAGGAGUAGAGUAGAUUAUUUUACAAUUUUGUUAGGAGUUGACACAUUGUUUGGUGUUCAUGAUCAAGUAUCCAAUUAAUUUUGUUCAUAAUCAAGAUGAUUGACAGUGUUCGGCAAGAAGCUUAGAGUUGUCGAACAAUGGUUGAUAUUCAUAUAUCGGCCAAAGAAAAAGUAGCCAAAUGCAUGCAUCACAUUUAGAGCAAAAGCAGGCGAUGGAGUAAACAACAUUGCUCUCAUCAUUGUUAUGUCUUUCCAAACUCACAUAUAUGCUUUGUUUAAAAACAUAAGAACAUAUGUUAAUAACGAAAUAUGAUCAGUCAUUCAGCAAUAUUUUUCCUCUCAGAAUAAAUUAGUAAAGAGUAAUUUCAUUUAUGACUCUUGUAUUGUCAUGACUCGACACCAUAACACGGUGCUUUGAGCAUAGUGUGCAUCAUUCAUGGCUCUUUAUUCCAGAAACAGUACUAAUACACUGACCACGUACAAGAGCACAAACAAGCAUAUCGAGCAGAGCAGCGACAUUUAUUUUAUUUCUUACAUUAAUUUAUUUUAUUUCUUCUCUCAGACGAAGCUCGAGAGGAAGCAAACUCGAUCGACUUGUCGCAUGCAUGCCAUCAGAAGCCCCUACCCAGGAACGCCGCCUCCGGCGCCGGCGCCGGCGCCGGCGCUGGCGUGCAGCGCUGCUCGCAGAAGUUUGUGAGAACGUCAUCGCAGCGGUAGGUGACGACGGGGCCAGAGCCGACCAUGACGCAGUUCUUGCACUCCGGGUGGCACCCGUCCACCGAGACGUCAUCGCACUGGCAGUCCGGCGGCAGCUGCCUGUCACAAAAACCGCAGUUGUCGCAGCACGGCCACGACGAGCCUGGUUUCCACCCGGUGUGGCCGUACAUGUUUAGUAAAAAAUGUCAAGUGUGCAUGCAUACAUCCUUUAACAAGUGAUAUAUAUAUAUAAAAGAAACUAAACGGUGCAUGAAAGGAUUCUGGGUACCUUUGCCGAGCGGCAGAGCAGCGAGGACGCCGAGAAGAGCCAGAGUGACGACGAGUAUCAGCUGAGGCCUCAUCUUUGUUACUGUGUCCCGGCAAGAACAGGCCUGAAUUUAUGCCAAGUUUUUUGCUUGGAUUUCUUUGCUACGUGUAUGUAUAUUCUCGCGGCUAUAUGAUGUGUAUGGUCGAGGCUGGAGGUCUUGUUAUAUAUAGCAUAGCAGGGGAUGGAGGUCCAGCGUGCCUAGAGAUGUCAAUCCCCACACGAUCGAAUAUAUAAAAUUCCACUACUAGCUAGGCGGCGGCAAGUGCCACAACUUUGCACUCCCAUGCGAUGCGACACGGUCUGGAUGAGUUUCCAAGCGCGCGCACGUUCCAUUCGUAUUUUUCUCAUUCCAUCAUGCAAUGCACAUGCCACCUGCGAGGGCGAUGGACGCCACCCGUCGACCUUUCCAAAAUAUUUUGUAAAAUUUUUCAAAUUUCUUGUCACAUCGAAUCUUACGACACAUGUACAAAGCAUUAAAUAUAGAUAAAAUAAUAACUAAUUACAUAGUUUGUCUGUAAUUUGCGAGACGACGAAUCUUUUGAGCCUAGUGAGUCAAUAAUUAGAUAAUAUUUAUUAAAUAUAAACGAAAAUGCUACAAUAACAAUUUUGGCAAAAAUUUUGAGAGUUAACAAGGCCCUGCUUGGUUGACCGAGUGCAGGGAUGACGCAGUGUACAUGUGUCUGGGAUCCUUUCAUAUACAUAUAUAGAGCAUUAAUUAUAGAUAAAAAAUAACUAAAUAUAUAUUUUGUUUAUAAUUUAGGAGACGAAUCUUUUGAGUCUAGGUAGUCAAUGAUUAGAUAAGUGUUUAUUUUGUUAAAAAAUUUGGAAUUAAACAAGGCGCUGGUUGGUUGAUCGAGUGCAUCAGUGCACAUGUGUCUGGAGAUACUUCCUGGAUGUCCUCUCUAUUUGCCUAUUUGCCUAGUCAUUUCAGGUGGGAACGGGAGCCCAGCACGGUCAGCAUGCAUGUGCUCAGUCCUCGCCUUGCCACCUGGAACGAAGGCCUUGUUUAGUUUUCUCCAAAACUCAAAAACUUUUCAAGUUUUCGUGUUAUAUUGAAUUUUACGGCUGCAUUAAAUAUUAACGAAAACAAAAACUAGUUAUACAAUUUAUCUAUAAAUUACGAAACGAAUCUUUUAAGCCUAUUUAGUCUAUGAUUAGACAAUAAUUACCAAAUACAAACAAAAAUGUUACAAUAUUUUAAAUUUUUCCCCCACUCAACUGAACAAGGCCGAGCUGAUUGUUGACCGUGGAGCCAUGGAGCUGGCGUCUCAACAGUACUGUACGAAAUUAGCAGCUAUAUUUUUUUAAGAUAAAGGAUAGAAACUAUCCGGCUUCAUCUACCCAUAGGUAGAAUCAGGCCAAAUUAAUACAACGGGAGAAAAAAAGAAGAUAAAUAACGGAAAAAUUACAUCCCCAACAAGGGCUCAAGUAGUCCUAGGCAACAAACCGUCUUGAUCCAAGAUGUCAACUCCUAUGGAAUACGAUCGCCAGCGUCAAGACAAAGUCGUCGAAACACGUUUGUCACACCUUAAAAAAGAUAGUGAAAACGUUGGACACCGACCACCAUUGACGAUUGGAUGCUUCUUCCAAGGCAACAGCGCAAAGAACUUGGAACAGAGACGGACCUGCCAUCCAAACUCCAAGCAGUUAUACCAAUGAACACCUCCUCCGACAAGAACAGCACGACGGAGAGACGUGGUUCCCGGCCAUGACGAACAACCACUUCGACGACGAGCCAACACGUCGCCGCCGGCCUGGAGAAACCAGGCUAGGUUUUCACCAAGUUGUUGGACGACCACAACCGCUACAGCUCCAGCGACACCUUCAACAAGGUGAGUAGCACCGUCAGUACCACCGUCGCCGGCCCGGCGUAAUGCCAGGUAGGGUUUUCACCCAAACUGCAGCCAGACGAAGAUCGCUGCGUGCCUGGGACUGGCACCCGCCGGAUCUGGGACGCCCAUCGGAUCCCAGUGGACUCAGGGCCCCGAAUCUAGGAGGUGCACCGCCGACUUCCAGGCAGCGCCGCGCAGACGCCCACCCCGGCGCUAGCAGUAGGACCCCACUCGGAGAGAGCGGAUCCAUGUCUCCUAGCACUGGAUCUCGCCAGGCACGGGGACGUCAUCUCUCCACCUCAGGUGCCAUGGAGGCAGAUGGACAGAAAACGAAAAAGACGACGCACGAAACUGCACUACCGCCAGGAUCGACGAGAUCCAUCCCGCACGGAGGAGCUUGCAGAAUUCCUGGAGAACACCUCGCCGCCGCCAUCACAGAGGGUCGCGCGGGCCUCCCGGCGUUCCUCUCCGGCAGCAGCGAGGGGAGGGAAGACGGGGUGGGAGGGUGUGGCGGCUGCUAGGGUUUGGGAAGACGGGGUGGAAGACGAGGAAUAUAACUCUUAUAAAGCAAAACUCUAAUAUCUAUUUCUCUUGACAUCCAAUGCAUCCACCUCAGCAGUUCACUAUUAACUCCACUAUCUAUUUUUCUUAAAAUGCAAAGCGUCCACCUCAGCAGUCUACUAUCAUUCGCUACUAUAAAUUUCUCUUGACAUGCAAAAUGUCCACCACAACAAUCUACUAUCAUUUGCAUUAAAUUUUACUAGCACAAAAAUUAUGACAUCCACAUUAGUGAAACACAUCAUCCACUAUGAAUAUAAUUUCUAUGAUUAUGCUAAUAAAGGAGUUAUAUAUUUAUAUUCCUCCUUCAUGCCCGCGGCAACGCGCGGAGAAUCCUCCUAGUUUUAUAUAUAACCAUGUCAUUGUCACUUCAUUACAGAGUCUCACAUGUAAAUGAUUUUUAUUCUUUUUCUCUCGUUCUUUAUGAGCAGGCCACAAACUAUCUCGUUUUUCAGAGCGAGAUAGGUGUAGAAAUAAGAGAUAGUCUCUUCACUUUUCCAUCUUCUUUCUUUUUCACAUCAGACGAGAUAGGUAUAGAGAUAAGAGAUAGGCUCUUCUCUUUUUCAUCUUCUCGCUUUUUCACAUCAGAAAAGUGCUCACAUGAAUUGUUAUGAGCCAGUUAAUGUGGCACUGUUGGUACACCUGGAGCAGCACCAAUGGAGAGGGCAGCAAAGUGUAGCCUUUAGCUCACAUAGGAGAGCAGAGCUGGUUGGGCGAUUGGUAGCUGUGGGGUUAACUUGAGCUUCAACUUGGUGCAUGGAGAUCUCACAAAUUUUUGUCAUCCAAGGGACAUGGAUAUCAAAAAGGAUUUGCUGAUUGUUCCUAUUUUUCGAAGCAGAUAAAAUUCUACUUUCAUGAAUCUGACAGUCGAGAGUAUUGUGAGAAAAACUUGCACAGUAAGUGUAAAUCUUGCAGAUUUCCAUAUAAUGGACAACUUUACUAGUACUCUUUAACAAACGAGCAGUGUUUUCAGCUCAUAUUAAAUCAGCAUAAGAAUGAACAUAAGCUAAUUUUUUUAUGAAAUAAGCAUAAACAUAAAUCAAAUUUCAGUGAAACGAGCAGCAAGUUGUGGCAAUACAAGUACAACAAAGGUAACCAAGAUAUUGUCAUGACUCGACACGAUACCAGUGCUUUGAGCAUAUAGCAGCUUCAUCACGAAUGGCUCUUUAUUCCAGAAACAGUACUAAUAAUACACUGACGGACGACGUACAAUAGCAAGCAUCGAGCUGAGCGGCGACAUUUAUUCUAUUUCUUCUCUCAGACAAAGCUCGAGAGAAGCAAACUUGACUUGCCAUAUGGAUGCUUGUAGCAGAUUUGCAUCAGAAGCCACCACCCAGGAACGCCGCCUCCGGCGGCGGCGCCGCGUGCAGCGUUCUUGCAGAAGUUUGUGAGGAUGUCAUCGCAGCGGUAGGUAACGACGGGGCCGUGGCCGCUGCCGGGAGGAAUCCCUGCACCAACCUUGACGCAUAUCUUGCACUCCGGGUGGCACCCCUGCACCGAGACAUCCUUGCACUUGCAAUCCCGCGGGAGCCACUAGUACAGAGACAGACUAUACAGGCGGUUGGUAACCUAUUUCUACUGGCGUUUUUCAGCACCGCCUGUGCUAGAGGCCAGUAGAAAUGGGCCAAUUUCAUGGCGGUUCCUUAUGAGCCGCUUGUAGAAAACAUUUCCACAGGCGGCUCUCUUUGGUAACCGUCUGUGGAAUUUUUUUUAUAGAAAAUAUGAAAUCGCGUUUUUAAAAACAGGGAAAAAAGAUUUAAUUUUAGGGAAGGCCUACUGGCUAGUCGACCGCUUCGCAGCCCCCAAGUCGCGCAUUUUUUCACGUAAAAUCGCAUGCUACGCGGCCGCUAGUGGGAUUCGAACCUAACACCUCGCCCUCGCGCGUAACGUCCUCUACCACUCCACAUAUCACUCAGAUGUGUCUAUAUUAGAGUUUUGUUCACCAUAUAUUAUCCUAAACUCAGCAUACAUUGAUUAUUUGAGGCCUUAAACAUAUUCAAAUAGAAAAGUUGUCAACUACAAACUUUGAUAACUUUUCAAGAUCUACAACUUUUAUAUUGGUAGUUUCUCCAUCCGAUGUCAUUUAUAAAAUUUGAAUUUCAAAUUUGAGAAAUUCAAACGUUGUUUUCGACGACAAGAUGAUCUCAAAUGAAAAAAAUUAUCAACUAUAAAAUUUCAUAACUUUUUGAGAUCUACAACUUUCAUUUUGACAGUUUUUUCAAACGAGGUCAUUUAAAAAGCUCAAAAAAUUCAAUUUCAAAUUAUUUUUAUAGGCGAUUUUCUUAAGCAACCGUCUGUAGAAAUAUGAUUUUUAGUGGCGGUUCCUUAGGACAACCGCAUGUAGAAAUACAUGAUUUCUACAUGUGGUUUUCUUAAGCAACUGCCUGUAGAAAUAUAAUUUUUAGUGGCGGUUCCUUAGGAAAACCGCAUGUACAAAUGCAUGAUUUCUACAGGCGGUUUUGUUAGAAAAACCGCAUGUAAAAAUACAUCUUCACAUACGGUUGGUAGUUCUGACACCGCCCUUUUUAUACCACAGGCGCGUGAUAACUAAAACCGCCUGUGAUAUAAAAAGGGGCGUCAGCGUUGUACUAUUUUCUACUAGUGAGCUUCCUGUCACAAACACCACAUAUGUCGCAGCAUGACCACAACGACCCUUGUGUGCCACUACUACGGAACGCUCUAUCACUAUCGGUGACAUCACAGUUAGAAAUGACAGAAUCGACAGUGAUGAGUCUUCACUGUCGGUUCAAAGCUUUGAGAGGCUUCGAAUGAUUGAAAAGGGGAAGAGCCGACAGUGAUGGACAACAUCACUGCCGGUUUGUUACUAGGACCUACAGUGUUGCCUUCUUCAUCUUUCACUGUCGGUCCGACACCUGAGCUAGCAAUGAUAUUGGGAUAUCACUGACGGCUCGUGUCGCCAACUGCCAGUGAUAUCCCCUGACAGCACAAAAAGCCUGCAGGCUUCCUCUGCUUCCGCCUCACUCCCAUCACGAGAACAUAGGAGCUUGCACGUGCCAUUCCCUCCAUUGUUACGGCUGCUCUUCCCCAUGACUCUCUCUUUUGGAUUUUGAAGAAUGGCUUGAUCUUUUUACUUUAAGGUUAGUAAGGGCAUCCACUUCAUCGAUUUUGGUGCUUAAUUAUCUUAGUUUGAAGGCUACAUUGCUUGAUUCUCAUUCUAGUUCUUCCUCCAUCCGAGAGAGCAAGCCAUUGGAUUUUGUGCAAAGCUCCCAAGCAAUUUGUGAGGAAUAUAUACAUCAUCUCCAUCAUCCAUAAAAGCUACAUGUUUUUGUCUAUAUAUCAUGACCUCAUUUGAAAUCUUUGGAAAUUUCAUGGUUUGAUCAAGAUGCAUGAUUGUUAGUAUGUGAUGCUCGAAUUAGUUCAUAUUAUUUAGGAGUAGAGUAGAUUAUUUUACAAUUUUGUUAGGAGUUGACACAUUGUUUGGUGUUCAUGAUCAAGUAUCCAAUUAAUUUUGUUCAUAAUCAAGAUGAUUGACAGUGUUCGGCAAGAAGCUUAGAGUUGUCGAACAAUGGUUGAUAUUCAUAUAUCGGCCAAAGAAAAAGUAGCCAAAUGCAUGCAUCACAUUUAGAGCAAAAGCAGGCGAUGGAGUAAACAACAUUGCUCUCAUCAUUGUUAUGUCUUUCCAAACUCACAUAUAUGCUUUGUUUAAAAACAUAAGAACAUAUGUUAAUAACGAAAUAUGAUCAGUCAUUCAGCAAUAUUUUUCCUCUCAGAAUAAAUUAGUAAAGAGUAAUUUCAUUUAUGACUCUUGUAUUGUCAUGACUCGACACCAUAACACGGUGCUUUGAGCAUAGUGUGCAUCAUUCAUGGCUCUUUAUUCCAGAAACAGUACUAAUACACUGACCACGUACAAGAGCACAAACAAGCAUAUCGAGCAGAGCAGCGACAUUUAUUUUAUUUCUUACAUUAAUUUAUUUUAUUUCUUCUCUCAGACGAAGCUCGAGAGGAAGCAAACUCGAUCGACUUGUCGCAUGCAUGCCAUCAGAAGCCCCUACCCAGGAACGCCGCCUCCGGCGCCGGCGCCGGCGCCGGCGCUGGCGUGCAGCGCUGCUCGCAGAAGUUUGUGAGAACGUCAUCGCAGCGGUAGGUGACGACGGGGCCAGAGCCGACCAUGACGCAGUUCUUGCACUCCGGGUGGCACCCGUCCACCGAGACGUCAUCGCACUGGCAGUCCGGCGGCAGCUGCCUGUCACAAAAACCGCAGUUGUCGCAGCACGGCCACGACGAGCCUGGUUUCCACCCGGUGUGGCCGUACAUGUUUAGUAAAAAAUGUCAAGUGUGCAUGCAUACAUCCUUUAACAAGUGAUAUAUAUAUAUAAAAGAAACUAAAC